UACGGGGGGGGCAAGCGUUGUUCGGAAUUACUGGGCGUAAAGGGCGCGUAGGCGGCCUGCUAAGUCGGACGUGAAAUCCCCCGGCUCAACCGGGGAACUGCGUCCGAUACUGGUGGGCUCGAAUCCGGGAGAGGGAUGUGGAAUUCCAGGUGUAGCGGUGAAAUGCGCAGAUAUCAGGAGGAACACCGGUGGCGAAGGCGGGUCUCUGGGCCGAUACUGACGCUGGAGGAGCGAAAGCGUGGGGAGCGAACAGG
rnacentral:rRNA from 1 species